GAUGAACGCUGGCGGUAUGCUUAACACAUGCAAGUCAAACGGACUCUUCGGAGUUAGUGGCGGACGGGUGAGUAACGCGUGAGAAUCUGGCUUUGGGUUCGGGACAACCACUGGAAACGGUGGCUAAUACCGGAUGUGCCGAGAGGUAAAAGAGAAAUUGCCUGAAGAUGAGCUCGCGUCUGAUUAGCUAGUUGGUGAGGUAAAGGCUCACCAAGGCAGCGAUCAGUAGCUGGUCUGAGAGGAUGACCAGCCACACUGGGACUGAGACACGGCCCAGACUCCUACGGGAGGCAGCAGUGGGGAAUUUUCCGCAAUGGGCGAAAGCCUGACGGAGCAGUACCGCGUGAGGGAAGAAGGCUCUUGGGUUGUAAACCUCUUUUCUUAGGGAAGAACAAAAUGACGGUACCUAAGGAAUCAGCAUCGGCUAACUCCGUG
rnacentral:rRNA from 1 species